rnacentral:rRNA from 1 species
AUUGAACGCUGGCGGCAGGCCUAACACAUGCAAGUCGAACGAGUGGCGGACGGGUGAGUAAUGUCUGGGAAACUGCCUGAUGGAGGGGGAUCACUACUGGAAACGGUAGCUAAUACCGCAUACCAUCGGAUGUGCCCAGAUUGGAUUAGCUAGUAGGUGGGGUAAAGGCUCACCUAGGCGACGAUCCCUAGCUGGUCUGCGAGGAUGACCAGCCACACUGGAAUGGAGACACGGUCCAGACUCCUACGGGAGGCAGCAGUGGGGAAGAUUGCACAAUGGGCGCAAGCCUGAUGCAGCAAUGCCGCGUGUAUGAAGAAGGCCUUCGGGUUGUAAAGUACUUUCAGCGGGGAGGCGUUACCCGCAGAAGAAGCACCGGCUAACUCCGUGCCAGCAGCCGCGGUAAUUC